UGAGCAGCAGUGGUAUGAACCACAAAAUACUACUAUGAGAUUAGUUAAAUUCAGUGUUCUGUUGUAACUUUAAAAUUGAAAACCAAGUUUCCCUGGACAAAUAUAGUUUUUUGUGAGCUUAUUAUUGACAAUUUAUAGUAAUAUGCUAUUAUGGGCUUUGCUCCACCAUGAUAAGGAGGAAAGAACUGCAGGCUAUAUUGUUCGUUGACAUUCAUGAUCAGUUACACACCAAGCCUAUAUUUUUGCUGCUUCUACAUGUUGCUAUGAUGGUCAUCCAGCCCAUUUUCUUAUCGCACGACCUUGAAAAAGAGCUUAUUUAGUUAAUGAUUUUCACUUACUAAAAUUCAGAUAGCUCUUGCUGUGUACGGAGCUGUUGAUUACUCAAAACAUGUUGAUGUAUUAGUUUGUUUCGGAGAUGGUUUGGCAUACUGGCGGUUUCGCUGAACUCGAGAAAGUAGCUUCACAACACAAUGUGUAGUUCAGUGUAGUUCACAACACAAAGCUAGCUCAACCACACAGGCAGAUUGAUUGAUCCCUAAUUCCUCUCCGUGGCCAUUCUUUUAUCGGUCUUUCUGAUAUCUAGAGUACUUUCAUUUAAGACCAGAACAUCAACUUGUUUUUUGUUCUUAAUUUUGUUGGCAUAAUGGUUUUAGUAGUUGUGCCAUAAACAAAAGAUAUUAGCUCUUGACACCUCUUUAUGUUUAAUUUACAGGCUGUGUCACUUGUAUUGAGCACACCAAUCUGCCUCGGUAGACGGCUGCUGAAGUUGACCCACAGGUUGGAGACAAAGAUAGUGUGACAAUUGACUGACCUUGACAUGUUUGAGAAUUAGGCAAUUGAUUGUGCCAUUUCUCUGCGCAUUGGUACUUACUUUUAAAACCGGUAGAUUUUAAGAAAUAUUUCCGAUGCAUUAUAGAAUGCCACCAAAACAGAAUAACUCUCCUGCCUAUUUCCAUUUAUUCUUAACAUUGCUUGUUUUUCCUUAUGAUGCUACACUAGACUGCAGUUUUUGUUGUCACUACAAUGAUGUAUUUUUUGAUUCCAUCUGCUGUCGACGCAAUGCACAGAGGGUUCAACAACUGAAUAUUGUUAUGCUAACACAUGUUUAGUUGGUGUGUGUUUUGUCAGAUAAAAUGCAU
rnacentral:lncRNA from 1 species